CUACGGGAGGCAGCAGUGGGGAAUAUUGGACAAUGGGCGCAAGCCUGAUCCAGCCAUGCCGCGUGAGUGAUGACGGCCCUAGGGUUGUAAAGCUCUUUCGCCAGGGACGAUAAUGACGGUACCUGGAUAAGAAGCCCCGGCUAACUUCGUGCUAGCAGCCGCGGUAAUACGAAGGGGGCUAGCGUUGUUCGGAAUCACUGGGCGUAAAGCGCACGUAGGCGGAUCUUUAAGUCAGGGGUGAAAUCCCGGGGCUCAACCUCGGAACUGCCUUUGAUACUGGGUAUCUAGAGUAUGGAAGAGGUAAGUGGAAUUCCGAGUGUAGAGGUGAAAUUCGUAGAUAUUCGGAGGAACACCAGUGGCGAAGGCGGCUUACUGGUCCAUUACUGACGCUGAGGUGCGAAAGCGUGGGGAGCAAACAGGAUUAGAUACCCCUGUAGUCC
rnacentral:rRNA from 1 species